CAGUAGCCGCGGGAAUACAGAGGGUGCGAGCGUUAAUCGGAUUUACUGGGCGUAAAGCGUGCGUAGGCGGCUUCUUAAGUCGGAUGUGAAAUCCCUGAGCUUAACUUAGGAAUUGCAUUCGAUACUGGGAAGCUAGAGUAUGGGAGAGGAUGGUAGAAUUCUAGGUGUAGCGGUGAAAUGCGUAGAGAUCUGGAGGAAUACCGAUGGCGAAGGCAGCCAUCUGGCCUAAUACUGACGCUGAGGUACGAAAGCAUGGGGAGCAAACAGGAUUAGAUACCCCAGUAGUCCCUGUCUCUUAUAC
rnacentral:rRNA from 1 species